AACGAACGCUGGCGGCGCGUCUUAAGCAUGCAAGUCGGACGGUAAGGAAGGAGCUUGCUUCUUCCCUAGAGUGGCGGACGGGUGAGUAACGCGUGAGGAACCUGCCCUUCAGAGGGGGGACAACAGUUGGAAACGACUGCUAAUACCGCAUGAUGUACAAUUGGGACAUCCCUUUUGUACCAAAGGAGCAAUCCGCUGAAGGAUGGCCUCGCGUCCGAUUAGAUAGUUGGUGGGGUAACGGCCCACCAAGUCGACGAUCGGUAGCCGGACUGAGAGGUUGAACGGCCACAUUGGGACUGAGACACGGCCCAGACUCCUACGGGAGGCAGCAGUGGGGGAUAUUGCACAAUGGGGGAAACCCUGAUGCAGCAACGCCGCGUGAAGGAAGAAGGUCUUCGGAUUGUAAACUUCUGUUUUUAGUGAAGAAACAAAUGACGGUAGCUAAAGAGGAAGCCACGGCUAACUACGUG
rnacentral:rRNA from 1 species